UCAUGACAUUUUCCUCUACGUGAUAUG
rnacentral:sRNA from 1 species